rnacentral:rRNA from 1 species
UACGAAGGGUCCAAGCGUUGUCCGGAAUCAUUGGGCGUAAAGCGCACGUAGGCGGCCCGGUAAGUCCGUUGUGAAAGUCAGAGGCUCAACCUCUGGAGGCCAAUGGAUACUGCCGGGCUAGAGUCCGGAAGAGGCGAGUGGAAUUCCUGGUGUAGCGGUGGAAUGCGCAGAUAUCAGGAGGAACACCAAUGGCGAAGGCAGCUCGCUGGGACGGUACUGACGCUGAGGUGCGAAAGCGUGGGGAGCGAACAGG